rnacentral:lncRNA from 1 species
AGGCCUGGUCCUGGAGGCUCUUGACUCCAGGCUUCCCUAAGGUUCCUGGAAGGCCUUCAUGUGUUAUUACUGGUUGGACAGAGAAGAGCACUGCCAGCCCCAGAUGGGAGUGAGAAGGCCGGUCGGGGAGAAGCUCUGAGCCUCCCAGGACACCACGUGAUGCCUGCGUUUCAUUCCAUGCCAAGUUCCACAUGCCAGAGAGCUGUCGUAGAACUUUGGCAGGGAGAAGUGUCUGGGCCAGUGGCCUGUGGCAGUUACUGCUCCUGGCUCUCACAUCCUUUGUAGAGUUUGUAGGGAAUCUAGAACUUACUGUGUCCCCUAGAGAGGGGGUCACCAGACUGACAGAAGCCUGGGGUUAGAACAGAGAAACCGGAGAGCACACAGAAUUUAUGGACAGAGGCAAAUGGCUGGGACUAUGAUACCAACAUCGUAUUUCCUUCCUCCUUGAAGGAAGGCCAGAUGCCAGCAGUUCUCUCUCACUGGUCUCUUCGUGGGGCCUGGUAGUCUACAGACCCCUAGUCACCAGAUGCCAUCUUGGGGAGAAAUUGGGUAGGAGGCCAUGCAGGGAAGGAGGAAGUCUGCCACGUCAGUUAUUUAUCUGAAAGAGAUUAUCCAGAAAGAAAUAGCAACUGAUAAGCAGCAAGCCGAAAUUUUUCCUUUCCUUUGCUGGAUAUGGUGGUGAAUACUCAAGAAAUUUCAACCAGACCGGGCAUGGUGGCUCACACUUGCAAUCCCAGCACUUUGGGAGGCUGAGGCAGGUGGAUCACUUGAGGUCAGGAGUUCAAGACCAGCCUACGCAACAUGGUGAAACCCCGUCUCUACUAAAAAACAAACAAACAAAAACAAAAACAAAAAAUUAGCCAGAUGUGGUGGUGUGCACCUGUAAUCCCAGCUACUCAGGAGGCUGAGGUAGGAGAAUUGCUUGAACCUGGGAGGCAGAGGUUGCAGUGAGCAAGAUUGCACCACUGCACUCCAGCCUGUGUGACACAGCAAGAUCCUACCCCCCCAAAAAAAGUUCCACCCAAUUCCAGAGAAUGGUUUGUUCUUUCUUAGAAACUCAUUUCUUUUAAUGUUGUUUUCUCUACAUGGUGACAAAUGCAAGGUUUUAGUUUACAAAGACAGCAUAACGUGUCCUACCCCAUCUAAGACCUCACCAUACAAACACCUGCUCUCUGCAACCAGUGGAAAGAUCUUCCUUCAGCUGUUGGCUGUCAGCAACUUUUUGCAGACUGGUUGAAGUUGGACAGGAAUGGUAGUUAGGGCCCGUGUGGUAUUAUCCAUAUGCCAUAUAAUCAAAAUUAUGUUUUCACGCAGGCAGAACAAAAGCAGGAUUCCAAGUAGGUCUCAGAUCAGUUCCAGAUCCUCAUGCCAAUGUCUUAUAUCCAGUUCCCCAGCCUCGUUUUACAUUUCAGCAAAAGACUGUCUUGCAAACGCAGCGGCGCUUAUAUGGCCAGUGUCAUCUGAGAAUGCAGUGGGGUGAUUUGUGGUGGGAGAGCUGUGUUAACCGGGCCCGAACUGCUAUCCAAUAUCCCAAACAUAAACCUCUUCCUGCGCGGUUGAGAAAGAAGCCAAGGCUUUUGGAAAGUUCACCUUUCAUGUGCUGAAGCCUUCCAAUUUCUUGGUUGCAGCUGGACAUGCUCUCAGAGCAGAUCAGACACUCUGGGAAAGAAAAGGGGUACCCCAUUGUCCAGCCCGGAUCGGGGUAGCGACAGCAGAACCUUCCAGGGACAGCCCACCUGUCUCGCCUGGCCCCGGGGCUCGGCUGAGGAUGGCAGGAUCCCUGGACUGAUUAGCUUCUCCAGAAAUAGCUUCAUCCAAGAAAACGACCUUUCAUCCAACAAAAUGACCUUUCGACUUCUAUAUAUUUUAUCCUCCCAGCCAAGCAUCCUCUCAUGAGUAUUUAUUAAACACCUACCAUGCGGCAGACAUUGUGCUUGGACACACUUGCCAAUUGUUUCCUCGGAACUUGUUUUCCAGGCAAAAGGAGGUGUUGAUGGAUUAGCUAUAAGCCUUAGCUCUCUCCGAAGCGUUUCUUGACUUACGAUUGGGUCUUGUAGGAAAAUGCUUCAUUUUAGUGACUCUUAAACCGAUGCCCAGUGUUUAUUUCUGAUGGACAGAGAUCGUGUGAUUCGUGCCAGAUAAAGAUGGGAGCUGAGGGGAUUUGCGAGAAUUGUAGGUUCUACUUUUGAUGUUUUUCCGCAGUAGGUGGGAAGGAGGAGUCUCCCCAAAUGAGAAAGAAGUAAGACAGGAGGGGGUCCUGCAGCCUUUGCUUCCUGGGAGGCGCUUGGAUGACUCACAGCAGGGAGUACGGAGCAGCCGCUGGCCGCCGCAGCCCUGGUUACUGCUGCAAAUUUAUCUCCCCAACUACGGCCUCUCCAUCUGUUCUAAUUACAAAUGCAAAAAAUAGCUAAUUUGCAAUGGCAUCAUAAAGAGGAAAAUCUAAGUGAUUUAAGAGCUGCUCUGUGUUACGUGGAGCGUGUUUUACACACUCCAGUCAGAGAGAAACUGCUUGCUCCCUGUGUUGAGAGAGUCCCCUCUUCUUGGCCAGUUUCUGAUUUGCCCUGACUGUGGGAGAAUUAUUAUAAAAAGUCACAAAGGGCAAGGAGCUGGUCCUGAGAAUGGGACACACCCUACUCUGCUUCUGACAAAAGAGGCGGUCACUGUAGUUACAACUCAAGGCCAAUAAUCUGCCUUGAUCUCUAGAUUAUUUCAACUUCUUGGCAAAAUAUGUAAUGUGGACACAGUACCAUGAGUCUAACUAUAAUACAAGUUAUUUUCUUUUUUAGCCAGGCACGGUGACUCACACCUGUAAUCCCAGUGCUUUGAGAGGCCGAGGGGUGGGGAUUAUGUGGGGCCAGGAGUUCAAAAACAGCCUGGGUAACAUAGGAAGACCCCAUCUCCACAAAAUUUUUUUUUAAUUAGCCAGGCAUCGGCCAGGCACGGCGGCUCACACCUGUAAACUCAGCACUUUGGGAGGCCAAAGUGGGCAGGUCACUUGAGGUCAGGAGUUUGAGACCAGUCUGACCAACAUGGUGAAACCCUAUCUCUAAUAAAAAUACACACACAAAAAAAAACUAGCUGGGUGUUGUGGCGGGUGCCUGUAAUCCCAGCCACUUGGGAGGCUCAGGCAGGGGAAUUGCAUGAACCCGGGAGGCAGAGGUUGCAGUGAGCUGAGAUCGUGCCACUGCACUCCAGCCUGGGUGACAGAGUGAGGCUCCAUCUCAAAAAAAAAAAAAAAAAAAAAAAAAAAAAAAUUUAGCCAGGCAUGAUGGCACGUGCCUGUAAUCCCAGUUAUUCCAGAGACUGAGGUGGGAGGUGAGAGUGAGAGGAUCACUUGAGCCCAGGAAUUGGAAGUUGCAGUGAGCUAUGAUGGCACCACUGCUCUCCAGCCUGAGCGACACAGUGAGACUCUGUCUCUAAAAAAAAUGAAAUAACAGUUAUUUUCUCUUCAAUUGUGCCAGUGAUGAAAUGAUAAGAAUGACGGUGUUCAGGACAUCCUACCCCAAAAAGCGGCACCUUGGCAUACUGAAUAUUUAUUUUUUCUUUCUUUUCUUUCUUUCUUUCUUUUUUUUUUUUCUGAGAUAGAGUCUUGCUCUGUUGCGCAGGCUGGAGUGCAAUGGCGCAAUCUUGGCUCACUGUAACCUCCACCUCCUGGGCUCAAGCGAGUCUUCCUGCCUCAGCCUCCCGAGUAGCUGGGAUUACAGGCAAGUGCCACCGUGCCCAGGUAAUUUUUGUAUUUUAGUAGAGACGGGGUUUCACCACGUUGCCCAGGCUGGUCUUGAACUCCUGACCUCAGGUGAUCCACCCGCCUUGGCCUCCCAAAGUGCUGGGAUUACAAGCGUGAGCCACCACACCUGGCUGGCAUACUGAAUAUUUUAAGCUGAAGGAACUUGAGUAAACAGCAGAAGCAGGAAGGUCCCCCUGGCCUUUCCCUCCCCUUCUUGCCUGAAGCAGGGCAUAAGAUCCUCAUGUGACAGCUGCCCUUCCUAUACCCGGAGGAAAGGGACAUCCUUAUCUCUGAAGACACAGCAUCACAGGGAAGAAUCUGAACAGGCUGGCUAGGUUUCCCCCAGUUUAUUACUAUUAGAUCAUUCUCUUUUUGCCCGAUCCCAUUUUUCCACAAGUGUCCACACUUCAUCAAAUCUGCCAUAAAAACACACAGCUUUAGCUGUUUCUGAUGGGGUCUGCAUUUCCUUUUGAAGACUCCCUUGUCAUGUAAAACUUAAAUAGAUUUAUAUGUUUUCUCUUGCAAAUCUGUGUUUUGUUACAGGGACCUCAGCCACAUACUUAGUAUGGUAGAGGAAAAAGAUAUGUUUCUCUCCUACAAUGGUUUAUCAUGAAUUAUCUUAGUAAGGGGAUGUACAAAGGUCUGUGCACAUGCAAAGUCAUAGAUGUGAACUUUCUUUUCUUCCUCUCCUCCUCCUCCCUUUCUCCUAGCUUUCCUCCUAUGCCUUCUGUCUCUAACUGCAGAAGACCUUAUCAAUCACUGUAGCAGCAGCAGCAUGGUGCAGAGGAAAGAGUGAUUUGGAGUCAGGGCUGCCUCUAGAUUUCUGUUGUGCUUUGCCACUCUGUGGUUAUGUAAAAACAGAGCAGGUGACACCCUCCCUGAGCCUCAAUUAUCUUAGGUGUGGGUGGGAUCGAGCAGCACCUGUCCUCCCUCCCUGACCCAACCUUUCAGUUCAUAGGUGAGAAAACAAGGCCCAGAGAGGCACCUGGCUUGGUCUCAUGGCUAAGAUCCUGCAGGGCUAAGAUGAGAUCCUGGCCCUUGCAUUUAACCCCUGCAGUCACAGCGACCCAGGAGGUGUUAGACACACUCUUGGGAUCCAGGACUGUACUGGCUGCUGGAGGAGAGUGGAGGAGAGGUGUGGGGUGGGGAGGGCACAAGCUCUGGUGUAAGCCACAGAACAAGAAGACACUUUCUCUGCUGUUGAGAAGCAGGUUGGUCCUCUUCACUCCUCCCUCAGGAGUAAUUGAACUGCUUGCCAGGUUCAUCUUGCCCACUGCCAAGAUAGAGCGAAUUGAUCAAGACAGAGGAAUUGCAAUAGAGAAAGAAUUUAAUACACAUAGAGCCAGCUGAACAAGAGACCAGAGUCUCUUAUUAUUACUGAAAUCAGCCUCCCCAAAACUUUGGAAGCCAGGGUCUUUUGAAGACACUUUGGUGGGCAGGGUGCCAGGGAAUGGGGAACACUGAUGGGUUGGUUUGGGGAUGAAAUCAUAAGGAGCUGAAGCUGUCCCCUUGCACUGAGUCAGUUCCCCUGGGUUUGGACCCCAAGACCAGAUGAGCCAGUUUACUGGGCUAGUUGGCACCCGCUGAUCCAUUGGAAUUCAGGUUCUGAAGAAUACCUCAAACACCAAUCUUACCAUUACAAUAGUAAUGGUAUCCAUAGAAAUAAUUGGAGAGAUUUGUAAUCUUGUGACUUCCAGCUGUGAUGUGGUUUGGAUAUUUGUCCCCUCUGAAUCUCAUGUUGAAAUGUGAUUCCCAAUGUUGGAGGUGGGGCCUGAUGGGAGGUGAUUGGAUCAUGGGGGUGGAUCACUCAUGAAUGGGAUCCCUUUGGUGAUAAGUGAGUUCUCGCUCUGAGUUCACUCAAAAUCUGGUUGUUUGAAAGUUCGUGGUGCUACCCCCCCCCGUCUCCCCUGCUCCUGCCAUAUGAUAUACCUGCUCCCCUUUUACCUUCCGCCAUGAUUCUAAGUUUCCUGAGCCCUCACCAGAAGCAGAUGCUGGAGCUGUGCUGCUACAGCCUGCAGAACCAUGAGCCAAUUACACCUCUUUUCUUUAUAAAUUACCCAGCCUCCAGUAUUUCUUUAUAGCAAUGCAAGAAUGGCUUAACACAGGCUGCAUGACUUCUGGGCCAUAACUUCUAAUCUUGUGGCUAAUUUGUUGGUUUUACAAAGGUGGUCUGGUUACCAAGUAAGGAGGGGGUUUGUUUGGGGAGGGGCUGUUAUCAUCUUUGUUGCAAAGUUAAACUAAAAACUAAAUUCCUCCCAAAGUUAGUUCUGCCUAUGCCCAGGAACAAACAAGGGCAGCUCAGAGAUUAGAAGCAAGAUAGAGUUGGUUAGGUCAGAUUUAUUUUACUGUCAUGAUUUUCCUAUGUCAAAUUUUCCUCACUGUCAUAACUUUUGCAACGGUGGUUUCAGUAGGAAAAUAACUUCCUUGGGAGUGCUGAGACCUGUAUUCUGAAUCAGCAUUGCCGGGAGUUUAUAAAAAAGACCUGGGGCAAAUCACUUUGCUCCACUGGGCCUCAGUUUUUCCCUCGCUGUAAAAUAAGGUUGAACAAAAUGGACUCUAGGAAUCCGUCAAGCCCUAAAACUCUAUUAUAGUAUUAUUGAACCUAAUUGUAGCACAAGCCUUUGUUUCAUUAACUGUAGAUUUGAAACCCUCAUUUGCUCUAGGAAUCCUUUGGUUGCUGUAAGAAUAUUAUGACUUGUUAUUUCUACCUUUAGUGAUGGUAUCUAUGCAAUAGGGAAGAUAAUAAAAAUUCUUUCUGGAAAAAUAAAAAAUAAAAAGUAAAUGGGUCACUCAUAUAAGUGAACUCUGAAUAAGCUGUAAGUAGACUAUUUGAAGCAGAGAGAAGAAUCUAUUUUCUAGGAUACUAUAAUCCCUUUUAAGUGAAUUCUUAGUGUGAUUAUCAGAUGAUAAGUUCUUCAGAGUUGUUUUGCAAAUAAAUGAUGAAAGAGGGGAGGGGGUGUAGUGAGAGGGUAAGUUCCACUGGUUGAUGAGACACAAUCCUCAGAUUGGUCUCUCACCCAUAUUUGCAGGAGAGCUUGUUCAGAAAUCUGAGAUUACAUGAUACAGGAUGAAACUACAUCAGAGUCAACCACCUAGACUAGGCUAACCUUUAUAAAAACAGCCUCCAUCACAUAAUGUUUAACAUGUAAAGAUAAGUGCUAGAAUUUUCUUCCCUUGCUCACUGUUCUGGCACUUAGCAUAAGAAAAAUGUCUUCAUAACCCCGCGUACUGUUCACUUGUGUUCAACACAUGCUCAGGAAACACUACAGAUCACAUUGUCUAUGCUGCAAGCUUCCAUACCUGCCCUGUUUCUGCUCCAACUGCAUGCACACUUAGGAUUCUGUUCCAGAAGCUCAGUGAUACCGUCUAGAGCAGUUCAAACAGGAGAACAACUUUUCUUCUAUUUUUAAUUUAAAGAUUAACAUAAGUUUUAUUUCUAUUUUUAAUUAAAGAUUUGAGAGUUCAAACGGUUUUUAAAAAGGUUUUGAACUUAGAGGAGAGCAAAUCAGGUGUCUGUUAUUACUUGCUCUGUGGCCUCAGGAAUUUUGCACUAUGGGCUGGGGUGGGGCUGGUUUGGAUAUGCCUCGCAGUUGCAUUGGACCUGUUGUCCAAGAGUUUCUGGUUAAUACAGAAACGCAGUCCUGAGGUGCACAGAAUCACUGGGACAGGUGUGUCAGAGAACAUUCAGAAUAGAAGAAAGGUUGGCAAACAUAGACAAAGGAAUCAGAGCCUUAAACACCAUCUUUCAAAGUCUAGGAAACUGGGAGCAAAAUUUCCACUUUUGUUUGGCAUAUUCUCAGGGUUUUGGAACUUUUCAGAAGCAAUACAGAAAAAAAAAUGACAAAACAAAAGAAACAGCAUUUUCUUUAAAAGGGAAAAAGGAAAAAACUGUUGGCCACUCAUUGUCAUAUCUAGAGAAUGGAGAAAAUUAAGAAAACCAAAGGGCUUUUUACUUUUCAUUUAUAUGCAUGAGUAAAACCUUAGUUUUAUCUUGUUGCUUUUAGUGGAAGAAAGACAUUUUCAAAUUGUAUUCACGGAUUGAUUUUUUGGAAUAGAUGUAGCUUCUUUAGAUUUCAUCAGAAAAGAAUUCUUUUCUAUUAUAACUAUUUGAAAACAGUAUAUUUUUAGCCAUUAAACAGAACUUUUGGAGCUGUGACCAAGUAGUUUUUGGAGCAGUCCAUGAGUUUGGGUGUUUGUGUGGAUGGAGUUCAGAACACACUGCUCCAUAUACGAUACGCUGACAUUUGAGGAAACAGCAGAAGCAGGAAGGUCUCUUUCACCUCCUUCUCACCCUUCUCCCCUGAAACAGGUAAUAAGACCUUCAUCUGAGAAGUUCCCACUCUAUACCUGUCUUUAUCUCUGCAGACACAGGGACACAGAGAACACUCUGAACAAACAGGUCUUGCUAACUUUGUAACCACAGGACCAGCCCAAAUUGUGCCUAGUCUGUUGAUAACAAAAUGUCAAGUUACUUUGUAGGUAAAGCAGGGCCGAAAAUGGCAAGCCAUGUACUUUUUAGGUAAAACAGGGCCAAAAAUUGCAGGCGUGCACAAUAGACAAAGCUUUGACCUCUAACAACACCUGGAACCAAUGAUUCCUUCCCUUAGAACCAAAAAGACCAGGGCAUGACCCAAACCUGAAUGCUGUAACUCUUUCAGAAGAUCUGGGGCAAAAAUCUGUCUCGACAUCCCUGUGAUGGUUAACAUAGAGUGUCAACUUGAUUGGAUUGAAGGAUGCAAAGUAUUGUUCCUGAGUAUGUCUGUGAGGGUGUUGCCAAAGAUUAACAUUUGAGUCAGUGAACUGGGAAAGGCAGACCCACUCUCAAUCUUAGAGGGCACCAUCUAAUCAGCUGCCAGCGUGGCUAGGAUAAAAGCAGGCAGAGGAGCGUGGAAGGACUUGAGUUGCUGAGUCUUCCAGCCUUCAGCUUUCUCCUGUGCUCAGUGCUUCCUGCCCUCGAAGAUCAGACUCCAAGUUCUUCAACUUUUGGACUCUCGACUCACACCAGUAGUUUGCCAGCAGCCCUCGGGCCUUUGGCCACAGACUGAAGGCUGCACUGUUGGCAUCCCUACUUUUGAGGUUUUGGAACUCAGGCUGGCUUCCUUGCUCCUCAGCUUGCAGAUGGCCUAUUGUGGGACUUCACCUUAUAACCAUGUGAGUCAAUACUCCUUAAUAAAUGCCCCUUCAUAUAUACAUGUAUCCUGUUAGCUCUGUCCCUCUAGAGAGCCCUGACUAAUACAAUACCUUUUCAUAAAUGGUCAAACUUGAAGCCCUCCAAUCAGACCCUGCCAAGCCAACAUUCCUAAAUCCUUUCCCAUUCUCUCUGAUCCCUUAAAACUUGCCCCCAGAUCCCACAUCUCAGAGACAGAUUUGAGCCAGUCUGGCUGAUUUUGUAAAAAAGCCUUUCUUUUCUACAAAGCUGGUGCCAUAGUUAUUGACUUCUGUGCACAUUGGACAGCGAGCCCAUUUUCUUGAUCACAACUUUCCCCACAGUUUAUGAUAGUUAGAUCAUUCCCCCUUUUUCCAAUCAUACUUCACAACUAUCUACUGAGUUUUUCAUCAGAUUUAGCAUAAAAAUAACAGGCUUCGCUGUGUCUUCAGGUUUUCAUUUCCUUAUGAAGGCUCCCAUGCUACUUAAAACUAACAUUAAAUAAAGUUGUACACGUUUCUCUUGUUAAUCUGUUCUUUGUUAUAGGGGCCUCCGCCAUGACUCCAGCCAUGGGAAAGAAAGCUGUUUUUUUUCCCUACAGUAUUUUAUUGUACUCAGGCACAGAGACUUCAGAACCUGAGUGAAAAGGCCUCCCCUUAAGCUGUAAAUGACACAGUAUAAAAUAAGUUGUUUGCUUUUGACACAGAAAUCCAGUCAGAGCAACUCCAAGAGCAAGUUCUCCGGUUAAUCUGACAUGACUAAUUCAACUAAAGUGGAUUUUAAAAAAUGACUUUAAAAGUAGACUGCAUCCCAAUUGCUUCCAUCUAAACCACCCUCAUUUCCUGUUCCUCUGCAUUUUCUAUUCCUGCUCUCUCCCCUCCUAGAAUUCUGACCUAGCGUUUCCAUAACACCCCGUGAACUGGAGGAGCUUUCUGGGUAAUUAGCAUGCAAAUGCGCAUUUCAAUGCGCAAUCAUCGACAAGCCUUCAACUCUCCUGCUGAGGGAUUGAUUUUGUUAGAGGGCUGCAGAAGGUGUGUUUUUCAUUUAGACAUGCUUGUGUGGCUGUGAACACAAAGGGUAAAUUCCAUCUAGGCAGUAAUUGAUAAGGAACCAUACGUGAAAUGAGAUAUAUUGCCAUAGCAAAAAAAAAAAAAAAAAAAAAAAAACAAAAACCUGUGCUCUCUAUUGGUCUGUUAGGUGCUGGCUGAAAAACGAGGAUAUCUCAAGGAAUAUUAAUUUUGAGCAAUUCUUUCUUUCAUGUAUUUAAAAUACUGUUGUAAAGAAAUUUAUUUUAAAAAGUUUCAGAUUACCUGCAAAAUGGCUGUAUUAGAAGUUUAUUAGAUCAUACAAACUCAAUGUAUUAUAUCUAAAUGUGACUCCCUUAAAAAUGAGAGAAUAGAGCCUUUGUUCCUUCCUCUUUUUCUCUUUUACUGGAGAGAGGUUAGUAAAGGUUUACUCUGGUGACAUUUGGAAAUGACACUGGGCUUGCCAUUUUCUUUGGUAAACAGUUCUGCUUGGAGUGCCUAAAAUAUGUAUCCUUAAGACCAGAUUUCCCUGGCUUUCAGAUGAGUUUUUAAAAUGUGGUUUUUUGAUGGGAAAAUAUUGUUCCUGUCCGUGUUGAUAUUUCAUGGCUGGGAUGACACUUUUUGUUGUAUCUGAAUGAGACUGGGCAGGGGGGAUUCUGCAGCUCAGUUGUCAGGGGAGCUAGAAGCUUUUGGAGCCAUCUUUUGGCAAGAAGGUGGUUGCCUGAAAUUUGAGCUCUCUGCCUUUUCAACAAGGAGAGCUCAAUUGACCCAUGGGAUGGAGGAGGUAGGGAGGGGAGCUUUGAGGAUGAAAAUGCACCCCUUCUUAGCAUCCAGAACUGUCAGAGGCCUGUGAACCAGAGCAACUCCUUCUUGAAUAGGAGCUGGGUAAAAUGAGGCUGAGACCUACUGAGCUGCAUUCCGAGAUGGUUAAGGCAUUCUAAGUCACAGGGUGAGACAGGAGGUUGGCACAAGAUACAGGCCAUAAAGACCUUACUGAUAAAACAGGUUGCAGUAAAGAAACCGGCUAAAACCCACCAAAACCAAGAUGGUUACGAGAGUGACCUCUAGCAGUCCUCACUGCUACACUCCCACCAGCGCCAUGACGGUUUACAAUUGCCAUGGCAAUGUCAGGAAGUUACCCUACAUGGUCUAAAAAGGGGAGGUAUAAAUAAUCCACCCCUCGUUUAGCAUAUAAUCAAUAAACAACCAUACAAGUGGGCAACCAGCAGCCCUUGGGGCUGCUCUGUCUAUGGAGUAGCCAUUCUUUUGUUCCUUUACUUUCCUAAUAAACUUGCUUUCACGUUACUCUGUGGACUCACCCUGAAUUCUUUCUUGCUUGAGAUCCAAGAACCCUCUCUUGGGGUCUGGAUCUGGACCCCCUUCCUGUAACAGAACUAUGGGUACAUCUCUUUUCUUUUUGUUUUUUUUAAGCCUAUAAGGGGACAAAAUGUUAACAGUAUUUCGUUACCUCUGGUCAUGGGACUAUGAGUGAUCGUUAGUUGCUUCUUUAAAUACUUGUCUACAUUUGACUCUACAAUGAGGCUGUAUUACUGCGAUAGUCCUAAAGUGUCAAUUAUUGUUAAAGCUCUCCAUUCUGAAGAAGGUCGAGAGGUAUCAGGCAUGGAGCUAGCUGGUUGUCAGCAGGAGUGAGCCCCAUUUUAGCUGGAACCUCAUCCUGAGCUGCCCAACCCUGUACGGGCAGCCACCUGCCUUCUGCAGAGUUGUACUGGCCAGAGCAUGGUGCAUCUGGGGGUGUCUCCUCCCCACAAAGGAAACUUCCAUUCUCCGCAAGGUGUCAGAAGAGCUGCCUCUGCUCCCCAUGUUCACCUGGCAGGGCUGCAGUGCAUUCCUUACAGCUGCUCUUGACUGUGGGACCAGCUUCCAGAACCUUGAUUUAUGAAACUAUUUGGUGUCAGGUGAUUUCUCAUCAAUAUCCUAUCACCCAACUUUUCAUGGUUUGUGGCUGCUAUUCCACAAAGCUCAGGCCUUUGAGAAAGCACCAGUGACUCAAAGCACAGGAGAAAGAAGAAGGUCCAAAAUGCAACUCCCCAGUUUGGUUCUUACUGCUCAGCUUUCCUUUGAACAAAUGACAACACUAGGGACCUGGGAAUGGUAGCUGCUGAGGAUAGUGUGACUUCUGAGCACAGGGGUGUCCCCAGCCCCUCUCCCAUCAUGCCUUUCCUCAAUAAAUGCCUGUGUUCUAUACUCCAGACAGGAACACAAUCUGCAUAUUCAGUAGGCCAUUAAGUUUAAAAAAAAAAAAAAAGGUCCUGAUGAAUAGACUGGAAACAAAUAGAUCAAAACACGUACUCUGUGGUUGAUAGAAAAAUAUUUUUCUUUCUUGCUGUAUCUUCCAUAUUGUCCAUAAUAAGCAAGUAUCUAUUAAACAAAAUAUACAUUCUAUUUGUUCACCCAUACAUGAAUUCCACAAUGAAAGAGUCAGUCAUUUGGCUUCAAGUUUUUUAUGCUUUCAUGAUGCAGAUUCUCCUAGAAGGUCUUUUACAGUCAUGUGGUGGAGUUCAUCCUUCUAGAAUGAAGGUUUUGGAAUUGAGGGACCCCAGAGAGCAGGCUCUGAUAAGCCUGAGGAGGUGUGUGGCAGGAGGAUGCAGGGGACUGGGAGAAAAGGCUGGAAGGUGAGUUGGAAAAUCAGCUUUGCCCAUCACAGGGUUUGCCAGGGGUGGAACCUUGUGACUCAGCACAUUUUGAAUCUUAAGUUCAAACUUGAAGAGCAGCCUUCCUUCUACACACCCUCCCCACUCAGCAAUACUGGAAUUCCUAGAAAGCCCAGCUGUUGCCUGGAGCACUCAAGAUCAGGAAACAAUGGCUCUUCUGAGCCCCUCCCUCACCCUUGAAUUUCCAGGGCUCUAGUCUUGAGCUCUGCUCUUUCUCUCUGGGAGAAAGGGAAGCGGGAGUCUCUGGAUGUUUCACAACAGAAAGUCCCACUCCUGCCACUGAGUGAUUAAAUAUGAUUUUUCUUUUAAGAAAAAAGAAGCCUUUUAUCAUACUCCUAGGGCUGUCAGAAACCAUUUGGGCAGAUUUUCCUACUCUUGUUUUUACAUGCAAAAAUGGGAGGUGGAUGGGAGGGGAAAAAAAUCUUUCUCUUCUAACCAUUUUAUGUUCAUUGGAUGAGGCCCUGAACAUUAGGCUGUCAAAAGAUAGAUUAACAAGAGGAAGUCAUAUUAAUUUACUUAAUCUGAGUUUUAUAAGACACGGGAAGCUUCAUGAGAAAAUGAAGACUCAAAGAAAUGGUUAAACCUGAGUGUUUUUAUGCUUGAUUUGGUGAAGAGUGGAAAGUCGUGGAAAAAUGGGAUAGGGCAAAGGUGUAUGAACAAAAGUAGCCAACUGGAGGAAACUUGGCAAGACCUGUUCAUUCAAAUUCUUCUCAGCAUCCCUCUGUCUUCAGAAAUAAGGAUUCUGCUUUCCUCUGGAUAGAGGUGUUACCAGAAAGGGAUCCUGAUCCAGACCCCAAAAGAGGUUUCUUGGAUCUCACGCAAGAAAGAAUUCGGGGCAAGUCCACACAGUAAAGUGAAAGCGACUUAAUUAAGAAAGUAAAGAAAACAAAUGGCUACUCCUUAGAAGACCAGCCCUGAGGGCUGCUAGUUGGUUAUUUUUAUGAUUAUUUCCUCAUUUGAUGUUAAACAAGGGGUGGAUUAUUCAUGAGUUUUCUGGGAAAGAGGUGGGGAGUUCCUGUAACUGAGAAUUCCUCUUCUUUUUGGACCAUAUAGCGUAACUUCUGGACAUUGCCAUGGCAUUUGUAAACACUCAAGGCACUGGUGGGAGUGUCUUUUAGCAUGCUAAUAUAUUAUAAGUAGUAUAUAAUGAGCAGUGAAAGUGACCAGGGGUUUAUUUUGUCGCCAUCUUGUUUAUGUUGGGUUUGGCCGGCUUCUUAACCACAUCCUAUUUUAUCAGCAGGGACUUUGUGACCUGUAUCUUGUGUUGACCUCCUGUCUCCUCCUGUGACUAAGAAUACCUAAACUCCUGGGAAUGCAGCCCAGUAGGUCUCAGCCUCAUAUUACCCAGCCCCUAUUCAAGAGGAGUCGCUCUGGUUCAAAUGUCUCUAACAGAGGGAGAGCACAUGAAGGUCUCAUGACCUGCUUCAAGGGAAGGCGAGAGAGACCUGUCUGCUUCUGCCACUUUCUCAAAUUCCUUUGGCUUAAAAUAUUCAAUAUUCUAAGGUGCCAUGUUUUGGAGUAGCACUUUCUGAACCCCAUCAGAGGACAUACCUGUCCUCAUCUUGGCUCACUCUUACAAAGCACAGCAAGAACAAGAGAGGAGAAUUUUCAAUUUGCUCAGGAAAAUGUCACCAAACCAAACUUGGGUUCACCUACCCAGCGCAGCAAAGUCAAACACUGACAUCGGGAUUUGCAGCAAGAGAAAGUGAGGCAUUUAUUGCAGGGCACCAAGCAAGGAGAGUUGGCAGCUCAUACUUAAGACCCAAACUCUCAGAUGGUCUACAGGUAAGGGUUUUCAAAGGCAGAAAGGCAGAGGUUACAGGCAAAGUCAUAAAUUCAUACAUGGAGGCUAUACAUUGGUUUGACCUAAAAGGCAGGACACCUGAGCAGAGGGGACACAGGCCAUAGGUGGAUUCAAAGAUUUUUCUGAUUUGCAACUGGUUAAAGAGGUGAUGUUUUGUCUAAACAUUUGGGAUCAACAGAAAAGAAUGUUAGCUCUGGCUUGUGGAAGUGACCUCCUCCCGGCCCCUCAGGAAGAAAUUUAGAACAAAGAACUAUAGUCAGAAUGCAGUCCUUAAUUCCCCCCUUAUCUAAGGUCUACAUGCCAGUGGAGAGUUUUAUUUAUUUGUUUGUUUGUUUGUUUUUUGAGACAGAGUCUCGCUCUGUCACCCAGGCUGGAGUUCACCCAGGCUGGAGUUCGGUGGCGCCAUCUCGGCUCAGUGCAACCUCUGCCUCCCAGGUUCAAGUGAUUCUCAUGACUCAGCCUCCGAAGUCGCUGGGAUUGCAGGCAUGCGCCACCACACGUGGCUAAUUUUUGUAUUUUUAGUAGAGACGGGGUUUCACCAUGUUGGCCAGGCUGCUCUCAAACUCCUAGCCUCAGGUGAUCUGCCCACCUCGGCCUCCCAAAGUGCUGGGAUUACAAGCGUGAGCCACUGCACCAGGCCUAAUGAAGGGUAUUUUUCAUUUAGUAGGAUCUGGGUCUCUGAAAAACAGCUCAGGGACAUAUGUUAAGAUCUUUAGUUUCUAUAGGGAACCCAGCAUUUUGUGACUCUCACUUCCUUGGUUAUUCUUUUAAGUUACUAUUAUCUUCUUGUUUAUCAAGUUGCUCAUUUACUUCUCAGGGGUCACUUAGGGACCUGGAAUUUUCCCUUGAAGGAACUCAAGCUUUUCGUUUAUUUCCUGCUUGCUUCCCAGCAUGCCCCUAAGAGGGCUCCUUGCUCCCUCUCAAAAGCGGUUUGAUCGACUGUUCUCUUUACUUCCAGUGGAGCCCUAGCUAAAAGGAGGGAGGCUAUGAAUUGUUUCUAUUUUUUUCCACAAGUUACCAAAUAAUUCUUUUAGCUUUUAAAAAUUAAUUUUAUUUUCUAAUUAAUAACUAUAAGCUGUGUAUACAUUCAGGGUGCAUGUGGUAAUUUAAUAUAGUCAUAUAAUUUGUAAAGAUCAAAUCAGUGUACUUGGGAUAUCCAUCACCUUAAAUAUUUGUCUUUUCUUUAUGCUGAAACCUUUGAAUUAUUCUCUCGUAGCUACUUUGAAAUGCACAACAGAUUAUUGUAAAUCAUACCCUACUGAUGUAUCAAACACUAGCUCUUAUUUCUUCUAUCAAAUUAUAUAUUUGUACUCCUUUAUUUUUAUGUCUGAAAAUCUGGGUCCCAGUGUUACCGAUCACAGAUUCUUAGGCUCUCAUGCAGUGGAAAUUGACAGGAGGCUGAGAAACUUUCCCAUACAAGCUUUAUUGGGGCUUAUGUUCAAGCACAAGGCAGACAGUGUAGGAGCAAGAAUUCUCCAGCUGGCUCCUGGAGGGUAGGUCUUUGCAGUGUUUUAAGGAGGGUGAUAUGAAGAUCAUGAGGUAUGUGAGCAUCAUUACAUGUGCAAGAUAGAGCAAGGGGGUGCAGGUGCAGGGAGAAAUCAUGUUAGUACAUACAUUGCCUGAUCAAAAAAUGGCACAUCAGCCCCUCCUGAGGUGGGGAUUUUAGUAGUAUAACAAGGCAAAGAGUCAGGAUCACUUAUUCUCCUGGUCCUGCGUGCAUGCAGGUGAUUGAGGUUACCUCUCUUGGGUAAGUUGUAUGGUAGAAUGCUGCUUAUCUUAGUUUUCUCACAUAGUUUGCAAGGCCUCGUUGUCAGCAGGUAUAUAUGAAAGAAAUGCAUUAGUGGGGUUGGUGCCACGUUCCUUCCCUGCUCUAUCCAAGUGGGGAAUGGCAUGGAUGGGCUGAGAAUGGAUGAUACUCAUUGGGGGCAACCUCUGUGUCAGGAACCGUUUCCACUGCUUUAUGUUCAUUCAUCCACUUACUUCUCAAACAACCAUAUGAGGAGGGAGCUGUCGUCAUUGCCGUUUUCCAGGCAAAGAAACUGAGGGCCAGGGAGUGACUUGUCCGAGGCCACUCAUUUAGUAGCAGAGCUAGGAUCUGAACUGGGUUGUUCUCGGCUGGCGUGUCAGCUGAAAACCACUGCACAGCCUGCCCCCAACCAUGGUGCUUGUGGAGGGUCUUUUCUGAUUUUGCUCACAUCUAUGUGUAGCAGGUUUUUUUAAAGUUUAUUUUAAGUAUCUUUCCGGGUGUCAUGCUAAUUAUAAUGUACUAACAAUUUACAUCUGUAAUUAUGUACGAGUCUAGGGAGUGAGUGAUUCUGUAGCUUGGAAAGAGACGAUUCAGUUAUUAUUCCUUGUGAAAACCAAGGAAUAGCUAUAGUCUAAUAGCUAUUGCCAAGUCCCAAGAAUAGCUAUAGCGUACCACCGGGUACUGGUGCCCACCAUCAUUUAAUAUCUUCAAGGCCCAAGGAUUUUAGUGCUUAUUCCAGUGGCAUAAGAACAUAAAGGCAAGAAGGUGGGACAACCAACUCAAGUGUGUCCCCAAAACUUUUCAUUUCAUUGUUUCACAAACAGCAAAACUGGAGUGACAAAACCUUCAAGCUGAUGGCAUCUUGCAGCCAAGUCAUUUAGUACAACAUGGGUCUCAAAUUUUCUUUUCUUUCUUUCUUUUUUUUUGAGAUGGAGCUUUGCCCUUGUAGCCCAGGCUGGAGUACGGUGGCAUGAUCUCAGCUCACUGCAAUCUCCGCCUCCCGGGUUCAAGUGAUUCUCCUGUCUCAGCCUCCCAAGUAGCUGGGACUACAGGCAUGCGCCACCACGCCCAGCUAAUUUUUUGUCUUUUUAGUAGAGUUGGGUUCCACCAUGUUGGUCAGGCUGGUCUUGAACUCCUGACCUCAGAUGAUCCGCCUGCCUCGGCCUCCCAAAGUGCUGGGAUUACAGGCGUGAGCCACUGUGCCUGACCGGGUCUCAAAUUUUCUAGACAAUUUAUUUCAUGUAUUUUUAAUUGUCUUUUUUGCGAGAUAGGGCCUUAUUCUGGUACUCAGGCUGAGUGCUGUGGCAUGCUCAUGGCUCACUGCAGCCCUGACUUCCUGGGCUCAAGCAAUUCCCCUGCCUCAGGCUCCGAGUAGCUGGGACUUACAGGCAUGCACCAUCACACCUGGCUAAUAUUUUUAAAAAAAUCAUUUGUAGAGAAGGUGUCUCACUGUUUUGCCCAUACUGGUCUCAAAUUCCUGGACUCAAGAUAUCCUCCCAC